rnacentral:tRNA from 1 species
CCGCAGGUUGUCGUAUCCAGCUCUUUCAAGGCUGCAACACGGGUUCGAAUCCCGUUCGCGGUCCA